rnacentral:rRNA from 1 species
GCGGUUAAAAAGCUCGUAGUUGGAUUUCUGUUGAGGACGGCCGGUCCGCACUAUGUGCGUGUAUCUGGUUCGGCCUCGGCAUCCUCUCGAAAGCCGUUUCUGCGCUUGAUUGCGUGGUUCGGACUUCGGGACUUUUACUUUGAGGAAAUUAGAGUGUUCACGGCAAGCAAGCGCCUUGAAUAUAUUAGCAUGGAAUAAUAAUAUAGGAUCUUGGUCCUAUUUUGUUGGUUUCUAGGGCUAAGAUAAUGAUUAAUAGGGACAAUUGGGGGCAUUCGUAUUAACGCGUCAGAGGUGGAAUUCUUGGAUUGCGUUACGACGAACUACUGCGAAAGCAUUUGCCAAGGAUGUUUUCAUUGAUCAAGAACGAAAGUAAGGGGAUCGAAGAUGAUUAGAUACCGUCGUAGUCUUUACCAUAAACUAUGCCAACUUGAGAUGGGGCUGCGGUUUAUUUAUGACCCGCUCCGCACCUUAUGAGAAAUCAAAGUUUUUGGGUUCCGGGGGGAGUAUGGUCGCAAGGCUGAAACUUAAAGGAAUUGACGGAAGGGCACCACCAGGAGUGGAGCCUGCGGCUUAAUUUGACUCAACACGGGAAAGCUCACCAGGUCCAGACAUAGUAAGGAUUGACAGAUUGAUAAGCUC